CCUACGGGAGGCAGCAGUAAGGAAUCUUGCACAAUGGGGGAAACCCUGAUGCAGCGAUGCCGCGUGAGUGAAGAAGGCCUUUGGGUUGUAAAACUCUUUCGUCGGGGAAGAAAAUGACUGUACCCGAAUAAGAAGGUCCGGCUAACUUCGUGCCAGCAGCCGCGGUAAUACGAAGGGACCUAGCGUAGUUCGGAAUUACUGGGCUUAAAGAGCUCGUAGGUGGUUAAAAAAGUUGGUUGUGAAAUCCCAAGGCUCAACCUUGGAACUGCAAUCAAAACUUUUUAGCUCGAGUGUGACAGAGGAAAGUGGAAUUUCUAGUGUAGAGGUGAAAUUCGUAGAUAUUAGAAAGAACAUCAAAAGCGAAGGCAACUUUCUGGGUCACUACUGACACUGAGGAGCGAAAGCAUGGGUAGCGAAGAGGAUUAGAUACCCCAGUAGUC
rnacentral:rRNA from 1 species